AUGGAUUUUGCAUUAGCUCUGCUUGAAAGUAUCACCAACAAUUUCUCGGAGGAACUCAAAAUUGGCAGUGGUGGGUAUGGAGAUUCAUACAGGGCAGUGCAUAAUGGGGAAGAGAUUGCUGUGAAGAAGCUUCAUCAAUUUCAAGGACUUGAUGAUAAGCAAUUUCACAAUGAAAUCCGUAACCUCACCAAGAUCUCUCACAAAAAUGUUAUACGGUUAAUUGGCUACUGCCAUGAAUCACGGAGUAAAUAUCUGGAACACAACGGGGAACGUGUUUUUGCUAAAUCACAGGAGCGAGUACUCUGCUUUGAAUAUAUGCAGGGGGGAAGCCUUGAGAAAUACAUCGCAGACGAAACAUGUACACUUGACUGGCCCACAUGUUAUAAAAUCAUUCAAGGGGCCUGUGACGGCUUAAAUCACCUUCACAAUGGACAGGAAAAAGCAAUUUUCCAUCUGGACUUGAAGCCUUCUAAUAUAUUGCUGGAUAAAAACAUGACUCCAAAAAUUGCAGAUCUUGGUUUGUCUAGACUUGUUGAUUCAGCAAGAUCGCAACAAACAGAGAUGCGCGACGGAACACUAGGGUACAUGCCACCAGAAUACAUAGACAACGGCAUCAUAUCAAACAAGUUUGACGUGUUCAGUUUGGUCAGCAUAAUUAUAAGAAUGAUGGACGGAAACAGGGGUGCUUACCGUUAUUCUGAAAUGUCUCCGCACCAGUUUAUUGAUCUUGUAAGUGAAAAAUGGAAGGAAAGGUUGCAGACAAUCUCGGAGGGCUCCUCAUAUGAGGUAGACAUCCUACAAGUGCGUACAUGUCUUGAGAUAGCAUUAAGAUGUGUGGAUACCGACCGAAGAAAAAGACCUACUAUCACAGAUAUUGUCCGCGAACUAGGGGAACAAAAUGCGGAGAUUAACACAAUAAUGUCACUGUCUCGUAAUCCUAAGGCUAACUGGCUGGGGGAGAUGCACAUCAACAUGGAUUUUACGCUUGCUUUGAUCGAAACUAUUACCAACAAUUUUUCAGAGGAUCACAAAAUUGGCAGUGGCGGGUAUGGAGAUGUUUACAAGGCAGUGCAUAACGGGAAAAAGAUUGCUGUGAAAAAGCUUCAUCGUCCCUUGCAAGGACUCGAUGAUAAGCAAUUAGACAGUGAAUUCCGAAACCUUAGUAAGGUACGCCACCAAAAUGUCGCACGGUUAAUUGGCUACUGCUACGAAUCACAGCACAAAUACAUGGAGCACAACGAGGAACAUGUUGAUUGUAUACUGAUGGUGCGGAUUAUCUGCUUCGAGUAUGUGAGCGGAGGAAGCCUUGAUAGAUAUAUUGCAGAUGAAUCUUGUGGACUUGACUGGCCCACAUGUUAUGAUAUUAUUACAGGAACUUGUGAGGGCUUAAACCACCUCCACAACGGCCAUGGGGAACCUAUUUUCCAUCUGGAUUUAAAACCAAGUAAUAUAUUGCUAGAUAAGGGCAUGAUGCCCAAAAUUGCAGAUGUUGGAUUGUCAAGACUUCUUGCUUUGACACAUACACAUAAAACAGAGAUUGUAGAAGGAACAAUGGAUUACAUGCCACCAGAAUACUUAAGUAGGGGCUUGAUCUCAAAGAAGUUUGACGUGUUCAGUUUGGGUGUCAUAAUUAUAAAAAUUAUUGCCGGAAAUAUGGGGUUUCCUCGUUCCUCUGAAAUGUCUCCAAACCAGUUUAUUGCGCUCGUAACUGAAAACUGGAUGAAAAGGCUGCAGCCAAUGUCAGGGCGCUCAUCAUAUGAGAUCGAAAUCCUACAAGUGCGUACAUGUGUUGAGAUGGCAUUAAGAUGCGUGGAUGCCGACCGAAACAAAAGGCCUAGUAUAAAGGAAAUUAUACGGGAACUCAGAAGUGAGACAAUAAUAGCACUGCCUACAGAUCAUAAAUCUAACUUGUUUGGACUGGCUUCUCAGUCACGCGCAAGCCCUGCUCCUGAUCAGCCAACGGACCAAAUUGGAGCUGACAUAAAUACAAACCUAACUAAAGCUGAGAUUAAGAAAAUACCGUCAGUGCCUCCUGCUCCUGCCCCUCAUCAGUCAAAAGGCCUAACUGAAGCUGUGACAAAUCUAAUCGAAGCUGAGGACAAGGCAAUAUUGUCAACGCCUCCCGAUAAUAAAUUUAAUUGGUCCAGUCUUGAUUUCCAGCCAAGCUCCAUGAUUGCUCCUGAUAAUUCAGAAGACCUAAUUCUUCAGGGUGUGCUACAAAAUGGGGAAAUGGUUGCAGUGAAGAAGCCAUUACAGGCAAUGCAGGCCACACAAAAGCAAUUUGAGAACGAGGUUAACCUUCUUAUGAAAUUAAAGCACCCAAAUAUAGUGCGCUUAGUUGGAUACUGCUAUGAUACACAACAUUUACGAAUACCUCAUGAAGGAAAAUUUGUUUUCACUUGGAACACUGAAAGUUUGCUUUGCUUGGAAUAUGUGCCUAAUGGAACUCUUGAAAACUACAUUUCAGAUGCAUCUUCUGGACUCGAUUGGCACACACGCCGCAAAAUAAUUGAGGGGGUUUCCUAUGGUGUACAAUACCUUCACGAGAAAUCUAAUGGGGUCAUAAUUCACUUGGACCUAAAACCCGCCAACAUAUUGCUUGAUGGAAAUAUGCUGCCUAAAAUAACAGACUUUGGUCUGUCAAGAUUGUACGAUCAAACCCACACUAUUCAGACUAAAGUUAUUAGUGGAACACGAGGUUACAUGCCACCGGAAUAUGUGGAACGUGGCAUAAUCACACCGAUGUCAGACAUAUUCAGUUUGGGUGUAAUAAUUAUGGAAGUAGUAACGGGACAUAGGGACUACCCAUACGAUAUUAAAAAAGAGUCUGAGGACUUCAUCGAGCUUGAACUUCAAAAAUGGAGAAAUAGGCUCCAACAAGAACCAAGGUAUACAACGCUAGAAAUUGAUUGCCAUCAAAUAGAAAGAUGCAUUCAGAUAGGUCUAAUCUGUGUGAAUCCUGAGCGGUACAAAAGGCCUACAAUGAAGACUAUAAUCGAUAUGCUUCAAGGAUUGGGAAGUAUGAAUUACUAUAUCAACAAUGAGCGACAAUGUUCGUAA
rnacentral:rRNA from 1 species